GCUACGGGUGGCAGCAGUGGGGAAUAUUGGACAAUGGGGGAAACCCUUAUCCAGCGACGCCGCGUGAGGGAAGAAGGUUUUCGGAUUGUAAACCUCUGUCAGUGGGGACGAUAAUGACGGUACCCACGGAGGCAGCCACGGCUAACUACGUGCCAGCAGCCGCGGUAAUACGUAGGUGGCAAGCGUUGUCCGGAAUUACUGGGUGUAAAGGGAGCGUAGGCGGGAUGUCAAGUCAGAAGUGAAAAUUAUGGGCUCAACUCAUAACCUGCUUUUGAAACUGAUAUUCUUGAGUGAAGUAGAGGCAAGCGGAAUUCCUAGUGUAGCGGUGAAAUGCGUAGAUAUUAGGAGGAACACCAGUGGCGAAGGCGGCUUACCAAGCUACUUCUGACGUUGAGGCACGAAAGCGUGGGGAGCAAACAGGAUUAGAUACCCGAGUAGUC
rnacentral:rRNA from 1 species